AUUGAACGCUGGCGGCAGGCCUAACACAUGCAAGUCGAGUGACCGUCCGACGGGUAAGUAAUGCAUGGGGACCGCCCGUUAGAGGGGGAUAUCUACUGCAAACGGUUGCUAAUACCGCAUACUGUCGCAUAACCCAUAUGGGAUCAUCUAGUAGGUAAGGUAAUGGCCUACCUAGGCGACGAUCCCUAGCUGGUCUGAGAGGAUGAUCAGCCAACGUGGGAGUGAGACACGGCGCAGACUCCUACGGAGGCAGCAGUGGGGAAUAUUGCACAAUGGGCGAAAGCCUGAUGCAGCCAUGCCGGGUGUAUGAAGAAGGCCCUAGGGUUGUAAAGUACUUUCAGUCGGGAGGCGUUACCGACAGAAGAAGCACCGGCUCACUCCGUGCCAGCAGCCGCGGUAAUUC
rnacentral:rRNA from 1 species